GAAGUUUUAGUUAAACAAUAACAUUAGUUUGUCAAACUAAAAUUAUUAUCUAUUAAUAACCUUCC
rnacentral:tRNA from 1 species